rnacentral:rRNA from 1 species
AGUGAACGCUGGCGGUAGGCCUAACACAUGCAAGUCGAACGGCAGCACAGUAAGAGUUUGCUCUUACGGGUGGCGAGUGGCGGACGGGUGAGGAAUACAUCGGAAUCUACUUUUUCGUGGGGGAUAACGUAGGGAAACUUACGCUUAUACCGCAUACGACCUACGGGUGAAAGCAGGGGAUCUUCGGACCUCGCGCGAUUGAAUGAGCCGAUGUCGGAUUAGCUAGUUGGCGGGGUAAAGGCCCACCAAGGCGACGAUCCGUAGCUGGUCUGAGAGGAUGAUCAGCCACACUGGAACUGAGACACGGUCCAGACUCCUACGGGAGGCAGCAGUAGGGAAUAUUGGACAAUGGGCGCAAGCCUGAUCCAGCCAUGCCGCGUGGGUGAAGAAGGCCUUCGGGUUGUAAAGCCCUUUUGUUGGGAAAGAAAAGCAGCAGGUUAAUACCCCGCUGUUCUGACGGUACCCAAAGAAUAAGCACCGGCUAACUUCGUG